rnacentral:rRNA from 1 species
UACGGGGGAGCAAGCGUUGUUCGGAUUUACUGGGCGUAAAGGGCGCGUAGGCGGCGUGACAAGUCACUUGUGAAAUCUCCGGGCUUAACCCGGAGCGGCCAAGUGAUACUGUCGUGCUAGAGUGCGGAAGGGGCUACUGGAAUUCUCGGUGUAGCGGUGAAAUGCGUAGAUAUCGAGAGGAACACCUGCGGCGAAGGCGGGUAGCUGGGCCGACACUGACGCUGGAGGCGCGAAAGCCAGGGGAGCGAACGGG